rnacentral:rRNA from 1 species
GACGAACGCUGGCGGCGUGCCUAAUACAUGCAAGUCGAUCGAAGCGGCGGUUGGGUGAGUAACGCGUGGGUAAUCUGCCCUUCAGUCUGGGAUACCAUUUGGAAACAGAUGCUAAUACCGGAAACUAAAGGACUGACCUGCGAUGCAUGCGCUAGUUGGUAAGGUAACGGUUUACCAAGGCGAUGAUGCAUAGCCGGGUGGAGAGACUGACCAGCCAAACUGGAACUGAGACACGGUCCAGACUCCUACGGGAGGCAGCAGUGGGGAAUAUUGCACAAUGGGCGCAAGCCUGAUGCAGCAAUGCCGCGUGUAUGAAGAAGGCCUUCGGGUUGUAAAGUACUUUCGGCGAGGAGGCGUUACUCGCAGAAGAAGCACCGGCUAACUCCGUGCCAGCAGCCGCGGUAAUUC